UACGAAGGGGACUAGCGUUGUUCGGAAUCACUGGGCGUAAAGCGCACGUAGGCGGAUUCGUAAGUUAGGGGUGAAAUCCCGGGGCUCAACCUCGGAACUGCCUUUGAUACUGCGGGUCUCGAGUCCGAUAGAGGUGGGUGGAAUUCCUAGUGUAGAGGUGAAAUUCGUAGAUAUUAGGAAGAACACCAGUGGCGAAGGCGGCUCACUGGUCCGGUACUGACGCUGAGGUGCGAAAGCGUGGGGAGCAAACAGG
rnacentral:rRNA from 1 species